rnacentral:tRNA from 2 species
GCGCCCGUAGUUCAAUUGGAUAGAAUACUUGACUACGGAUCAAGGGGUUGGGGGUUCAAAUCCUCUCGGGCGUGCCA